AACGGAUUCCCCCUAGUAACUGCGAGUGAAGCGGGAAAAGCUCAAAUUUAAAAUCUGGCGGUCUUUGGCCGUCCGAGUUGUAGUCUGGAGAAGUGCUUUCCGCGCUGGACCGUGUACAAGUCUCCUGGAACGGAGCGUCAUAGAGGGUGAGAAUCCCGUCUUUGACACGGACUACCAGUGCUCUGUGAUGCGCUCUCAAAGAGUCGAGUUGUUUGGGAAUGCAGCUCAAAAUGGGUGGUGAAUUCCAUCUAAAGCUAAAUAUUGGCGAGAGACCGAUAGCGAACAAGUACCGUGAGGGAAAGAUGAAAAGCACUUUGGAAAGAGAGUUAAACAGUACGUGAAAUUGCUGAAAGGGAAACGCUUGAAGUCAGUCGCGUCGGCCGGAACUCAGCCUUGCUUUCGCUUGGUGUACUUUCCGGUCGACGGGCCAGCAUCGAUUUCGAUCGUCGGAAAAAGGCAGAGGGAAUGUGGCACCUUCGGGUGUGUUAUAGCCCUCUGUUGCAUACGACGGUUGGGAUCGAGGUUCGCAGCACGCCUUUAUGGUCGGGGUUCGCCCACGUUCGUGCUUAGGAUGCUGGCGUAAUGGCUUUAAACGACCCGUCUUGAAACACGGACCAAGGAGUCUAACAUGCCUGCGAGUGUUUGGGUGGAAAACCCGAGCGCGUAAUGAAAGUGAAGGUCGGGACCUCUGUCAUGGAGGGCACCGACGCCCGGACCUGAAGUUCUCUGACGGCUCCGCGGUAGAGCAUGUAUGUUGGG
rnacentral:ncRNA from 1 species